UACGUAGGGGGCAAGCGUUGUCCGGAUUUAUUGGGCGUAAAGAGCGUGUAGGCGGUCUGGUAGGUCCGCUGUGAAAACUCGAGCUCAACCUCGAGACGCCGGUGGAAACCAUCAGACUAGAAGUCCGGAAGAGGAGAGUGGAAUUCCUGGUGUAGCGGUGAAAUGCGCAGAUAUCAGGAAGAACACCCGUGGCUAAGGCGGCUCUCUAGUACGGUACUGACGCUGAGACGCGAAAGCGUGGGGAGCGAACAGG
rnacentral:rRNA from 1 species